CCCUCCUACCAAGAGGAUUUUGUGUUUGUUUUUUCUCUCUCUUUGGUUUUCGCAAGAUCUGAAUUUGAGGACAAAUUCCUUCAAGAUGGAGAGGAUGAUACAAGCACAAUGAGCCUCAAGAGCAUAAGAUUUUGUCUAAGGGUCAAGGCUUCGGAAUCGGCAAGCAAUUAAAGACUUUUUGGAGUAUUUUGAAGGCUUGGUCAAGAGAAGAAAGGAGGAGAAUUUAUACACUCCAUAGGCUCCUCAAAGGAAGGAUAAUGAAGACUUUUUACACUCCAAAAGAGAACUCUAUAGGCGCUUCCUUUUAAGUCCUCAUUAAGGGCAUUUUUGUCCUUUGGCAUGUAAUAGUAUAAAUAGACCCUUUAGCUUGUAUUUUCAUUAGACUUUGAUGAAUUGAAAUUGAGUAUUACUCAUAGUUUGUAGAUCUAACCAAUUAUGCUCUAUUUAACCAGCAUAUUAGUAGUUGCUUGAGAAGAUGGUACUAAUAUUUUUUACAUCAGUAUUCGUACUGAAUGCAAUUGUAGCCGUUGGCUAUAGCUUAAAUUGGCAUACAUACAUACUGUAAAAGAAGGGAAGGGACCCAUUUAACGGCUUAAAAUGUUUUGGAUAUCUUUAGAAAGUUAGGGUUUUCACUUGUCUUGGAUGAUUUGGCAAGAAAGGUGUGCUUGAGGAAGUGUGUUUCCUUUGGGUCACCUAAGAGGGAGGUUUAAACUCUUAUUUGUGAGGUGUGUUGAAGAUUUUGAAACAUCUUCUAGUGCUAAUCAUUGAAUAGCAGUAAGGGUCUGUCUAUCUAUCCUUUAAUUUCAAGCAUUCUUCUUCUUUAUCUCCAUUCUAUAUGUUGUUUUCUCUUUAUUUGGUUUCUGGAAUUUACAUCUUAUAGCCAAUUUCAUGUGUUUGGUAGUCUUUAGGCUAUCACGUCGGCCCAGUGCCGGAAGGUCAAGAAAGUUGGUGACCUGAUGACAGGGGAGACGGCGACCAAAUCCCUGGUGAACAGCAACCAUAACUAUAACGGUCCUAAGGUAGCGAAAUUCCUUGUCGGGUAAGUUCUAACCCACACGAAAGGCGUAACGAUCUGGGCACUAUCUCGGUGAGAGGCUCGGUAAAAUAGACAUGUCUGUAAAGAUAAGGACUACCUGUACCUGGAAAGAAAGACCCUGUGAUGCUUCACUGUUCCCUGGGAUUGGCUUUGGGCCUUUCCUGCGCAGCUUAGGUGGAAGGCGAAGAAGGCCUUUUCCGCGGGGGACCCAAGCCAUCAGUGAGAUACUACUCUGGAAGGGAUAGAAUUCUAACCUUGUGUCAGGACCUAUGGGCCAAGGGACAGUCUCAGGUAGACAGUUUCUAUUAGGCGUAGGCCUCCCAAAAGGUAACGGAGGUGUGCAAAGGUUUCCUCGGGCCGAAUGGAUUAGCCCUCGAGUGCAAAGGCAGAAGGGAGCUUGACUGCAAGACCCACUCGUCGAGCAGGGACAAAAGUUGGCCUUAGUAAUCUGACGGUGCCGAGUAGAAGGGCCAUCGCUCAAUGGAUAAAAGUUACUCUAGGGAUAACAGGCUGAUCUUCCCCAAGAGGUUACAUCAAUAAAAAGGUUUGGCACCUCGAUGUCGGCUCUUCGCCACCUGGGGCUAUAGUAUGUUCCAAGGGUUGGGCUGCUCUCCCAUUAAAGCGGUACGUGAGAUGGGUUCAGAAUCAUGAGAUAAUUUGGUCCAUAUUCGGUGUGGGCGUUAGAGCAUUGAGAGGACCUUUCCCUAGUACGAGAGGACCGGGAAGGACGCACCUCUGGUGUACUAGUUAUCGUGCCCACGGUAAAUGCUGGGUAGCCAAAUACGGAGCAGAUAACUGCUGAAAGUAUAUAAGUAGUAAGCCCACCCCAAGAUGAGUUCUCUCCUAUUCCGACUUCCCCAGAGCUUUCGGUAGCACAGUCGAGACAGCGACAGGUUCUCUGCCCCUGCGGGGAUGGAGCGACAGAAGUGUUUUUGAGAAUUUAAGAGAAGUUCACGGCGAGACAAGCCAUUUAUCAUUACGAUAGGUGUCAAGUAGAAGUGCAGUGAUAUAUGCAGCUGAGGUAUCCUAACAGACUGGUAGACUUGAACCU
rnacentral:rRNA from 1 species